rnacentral:rRNA from 1 species
AGGACGAACGCUGGCGGCGUGCUUAACACAUGCAAGUCGAGCGGAAAGGCCCUUCGGGGUACUCGAGCGGCGAACGGGUGAGUAACACGUGAGCAAUCUGCCCUUAGCUUCGGGAUAGCCCCGGGAAACCGGGAUUAAAUACCGAAUAUGACCUCGGCCGACAUCGGCUUUGGUGGAAAGUUUUUCGGCUAGGGAUGAACUCGCGGCCUAUCAGCUUGUUGGUGGGGUAAUGGCCUACCAAGGCGACGACGGGUAGCCGGCCUGAGAGGGCGACCGGCCACACUGGGACUGAAACACGGUCCAGACUCCUACGGGAGGCAGCAGUGGGGAAUUUGCGCAAUGGGGGAAACCCUGACGCAGCAACGCCGCGUGGAGGAUGAAGUCCCUUGGGACGUAAACUCCUUUCGAUCGGGACGAUAAUGACGGUACCGGAAGAAGAAGCCCGGCUAACUCGCGCCAGCAGCCGC